AUUGAACGCUGGCGGCAGGCUUAACACAUGCAAGUCGAGCGGAGAUGAGGUGCUUGCACCUUAUCUUAGCGGCGGACGGGUGAGUAAUGCUUAGGAAUCUGCCUAUUAGUGGGGGACAACAUUCCGAAAGGAAUGCUAAUACCGCAUACGCCCUACGGGGGACAGCCGGGGAUCUUCGGACCUUGCGCUAAUAGAUGAGCCUAAGUCGGAUUAGCUAGUUGGUGGGGUAAAGGCCUACCAAGGCGACGAUCUGUAGCGGGUCUGAGAGGAUGAUCCGCCACACUGGGACUGAGACACGGCCCAGACUCCUACGGGAGGCAGCAGUGGGGAAUAUUGGACAAUGGGCGGAAGCCUGAUCCAGCCAUGCCGCGUGUGUGAAGAAGGCCUUUUGGUUGUAAAGCACUUUAAGCGAGGAGGAGGCUACCUGGAUUAAUACUCUAGGAUAGUGGACGUUACUCGCAGAAUAAGCACCGGCUAACUCUGUGCCAGCCGCCGCCGUAAUAC
rnacentral:rRNA from 1 species